AAAAAAAUCAACUUCUAACAACUAAAACUAUAGAGUUGAAAAAAGCAUUAAAAUCUUGCCUUUCUGGAGUACAUUAUACUUUUAUGUUCAAACAUCCAUAAUCAUGAUAAUUAAAAGGUGCUUUCAAAUUGGUAGCUUUUAAUAUAUAAUUCAUGGAGUUUUAAUCUGUUGUUUGUUUUUAACACUUGCCAUCUUCUCAAACAUUUGUAAAUGUUUAGGGUAAAUAUUGUUUAUAUUUAUGUAUAUAAUUGUAAAUAUUGAUAUCUGAAUGCUGUCAAAUAAGUCAUAGAAAAUUUUUAAGCUGCUGAUCUCAAAAGGACACUGUGAAACAAUCUCCGGCACAGAGUUCAUAUCCGUUCCAUACAUGCUCUGCAAUACUGCACUUAAUAUAUUGAGUGUAGUGUUACAAAGUCUUGAACGGAACGGAUAUAAUCUCUGUGCCGGAUAUUGACUGUGAAACAUAGUUAAAUUGUUACCUGAUGGUACAUUAAAGCACUACACUUUAAACUGUUGGAUAUCUAAUUCCAUAGACACAUUCAUGUUGAGACCAGUCCACUUUUUUCUCUCUUGGUAAAAUGUUAGAUUCUAUUUUCUAUAUUUCUAUCGAAAUUUAACCUUUUCGAAAUCCAUUGUAUAAAAAUUUGUUAUAAAUGUGGUUGCGAGGGAUCUCAGAAGUCCUCUCCAGGCCUCAAACUAAAUUUUAUAUUCUCAUUAUGUGGCAACCAUGAAUUCUAUUCCACUUAAGUCUUCAUUUAUCUCGUCUUUAAGUUUAUUGAUAAAAUUAAUAUUUCAUGCACUUGAAACAAGGAAUUAUUUGAAUCUGGAAUAAUUUUUAAUUCUGGAAAAUUGAUUAGAAAUGUAUGAUGAAAACUUACCCAACUAAAUAGGGCUGGCCUAUUCCAGAUUCAAAUAAUUCCUUGUUUUAAUAUCAUCCUGUUUGUUGGGGUCUGCUGGCUACUUUUUUGUCGAAUCUGCAACUUUUGUUGCAGAAAGCUCGACAUAGGGAUAGUGAUCCGGCGGCAGCGUUAGCUAACUUCUUAAAAGCUUUAUAUUUUAGAAGGUAGAAGACCUGGAUGCUUCAUAUUUUGUAUAUAGAUGCCUCAUGUUACAAACUUUCCGUCAGUCACAUGUCCAAUGUCUUUGACCUCAUUUUCAUGGUUCAGCGACUACUUGAAAAAAAAGUUAAGAUUUUUUAUAAUAUUAAAUUCUCUAUUAUUAUAAGUAAUAGGAUAACUAUAUUUGGUAUGUGCGUACCUUGCAAGGUCUCAUGCCCGUCAUACAGUUUUCACUUGACCUCGACCUCAUUUCAUGGAUCAGUGAACAAGGUUAAGUUUUGGUGGUCAAGUCCAUAUCUCAGAUACUAUAAGCAAUAGGUCUAGUAUAUUCGGUGUAUGGAAGGACUGUAAGGUGUACAUGUCCAACUUGCAGGUGUCAUCUGACCUUGACCUCAUUUUCAUGGUUCAGUGGUUAUAGUUAAGUUUUUGUGUUUUGGUCUGUUUUUCCUAUACUAUAUGCAAUAGGUCUACUAUAUUUGGUGUAUGGAAUGAUUGUAAAGUGUACAUGUCUAGCUGACAGGUGUCAUCUGACCUUGACCUUAUUUUCAUGGUUCAGUGGUCAAAGUUAAGUUUUUGAGUUUUGGUCUAUUUUUCUAAUACUUUAUGCAUUAGGUCAACUAUAUUUGGUGUAUGGAAAUAUUUUAUGAUCUAUAUGUCUGUUACGCAGGUUUUAUUUGACCUUGACCUCAUUUUCACGGUCCAUUGCUAAGUGUUAAGUGUUUGUUGUGUUUUGGUCUGUUUUUCUUAAUUUAUAAGCAAUAAGUCAACUAUAUUUGUUGUAUUGAAGAAUUGUUAACUGUACAUGUCUGCCUGGCAUGGUUCAUCUGACCUUGACCUCAUUUUCAUGGUUCAUUGAUCAAUGUUUCAUUUUCUUGGUUAAUGUCAAGUUUAUGUGACAGUUGUAGUAAAGCUUUGAAUUUAGGUCUAUCAACAUAAUAUCAAUGAUUAGUAAAGAAGGCGAGACAUUUCAGUGUGUGCACUCUUGUUACAUUAAGUUAACAUUUUAAAACCGGUUGGCUAUUGCAAAAUGACUAUGAAAAUUCUUAACAAUAAUAAGUUCCUCUGCUUAAAUUUAGAUUUUGAGAUCUUUCAGCUGUGUAUAUUGUAUAUAUUUUUAUUUUGUUUAAACUAUUAUUUUCUCAGAAACACAUUCCAUUUAACUUAUUGUGAAUGAAAUUGAUGCAUAUAUUUUAUAAGAGCAUUUUAUAGUAUUGUUAAGAUUUACAUAAUGUCUUUCAUUCAUAUUAGUGUGGUUGGUGCUUGCACAAAGUCAGUGCAUGAGUCUUUCAUUAUUUUAUUGAUCUGUAUUGUUGUUAUUUAUCUUUAUCACUUAUUUAACUAGGCGUUCAUUUAUAACUCUUAUAGAUGUUAAGGUUGACAUUUCAUAAUUAAAAUAGCAGUCAAAUUUAUAUAUAUAAAUAUAGGUAAGAAAAAAAUAUUUAAGGGGGCAUAAAUCAAUUUUUUUUUACAUACGAUUUUGCUAUAUUUUUUUAUAAAUAAACUUUAUCAUAUACUUAAUAGAAAAAUAAAAUAAAGAAAUGGGGUCUAACCGUUCAUUUAAGCUCACAAUAUGCCUCCGAAAGAAGCAUUUUUUUUUUUGUUGAUGUCCUUUUUUCUGUUGAACUAAUAGGAGAAAAAGAGGUAAUAUCGAAAUAAAAAAGAACUAAAUUACAGAAAGCACUUAAAUUUAACAAUUAUUUAGUUUGUGUACAGUUUAUUUGAAAACAUUAAUAAAAAAUAUAGGUCACCAAUGAGUUAAAAAGAUAUUUCAAUUUAAUGCCCCAAAAAUGGCAUUUUUGCACCAAAGGGAGAUAAUUUUGAGCUUUUUCAAUGAUAUAAACAUUUUAAAAGUCAUCUGGGGCCAAACUGAAUCGAUUUCUUUGGUUGAUUUUUGUACCAUAUCAUAAAGUAAUAACUAAUAGUGUAAUAAAUAAAAUUUGUAAUGAGUAAACAAAUAUUUAUUUUUUUGCUGAAAUUUGUAUACCCUCAAGAAACAUUUUUGUUACUGAUACUACAAAUUUUAGGGCAUAAAUCUUGAAUGUGUAUAUAGUGUGUGAGUGAAAGUUAUAUGUAUGAUUGAAUUGUGUAAAGAUGUUUAAAAAAUUAGUGGAUAUAUGGUUUUUAUAUUACAACAUUUAAAUGUACAUGUACUUAUUGAGGGGUGGUUGUGACAUUUGUCUUUAGCCACAAAAGUCACACGGCGUUUAUUUACCUAAUAUUUUGACUGAUUCUUUAAGUACCGAUUAUCAGGUUAUCUGCAUGUUGAUAUCGUAAAAUAUCAGCUGCGAGACAUAAUAUGAAGCUUUUUGUUGAGUGAGCGUAGCGAAUGAGAUCAAAAAGCCUUUAUAUAAUGUCAAGCAGCUGAUAUUUUACAAUAUAUAGUCGCUGAUAUGUCCGGGUCAAAGUUAUUAAGGCCGGGUCAACGUAUUUGACGUCACAAAGACAUGAUACGGAAUAAUAUUAAGAGCUGAACAGAGUGAUAUAGACAGUGGGACGACAUAAAGAUAAUUAUCCUUGGUCAUACAAAAGCAUGUAGUGGCCCAUUAUAGUGAUCUGAGCUUUUAAAGGGCAAUUGAUACUUGAUUUGAUGUACAGUAUUUAUUUAUCUAUUUAGAUACAGAUUUAUUCUUUUUUACGUUGCAAAAACUUGUAAUUUUCAUUAAAAAUCUCAAAAUAAAUUAUGCUGGUAGAUUUGAAUUUGUCUUCAUGGUUUCCAAAAUUUUAAAGGCUUAUUUGUGAGUCAACUGUGCUUAUAGGCACAAAUUUUAAUUAUCAUAUGAUGGAACAACUCUAUUGAGAUGAUUAUUGAUGAUUUUAAGAAAAGUUUUGGAAGUGAGCCAUCUUUAAUUUAAAGAGCUAAUUUUACCAUCAAUUUAUUAUAGCUAUAGUUCUGCUUGAGAAUUUUUGGAUUGUGUCAUAAUUUAAAAAAUAUUGAUAACUUGCAUUAUAAAAAUGUCUAACACAUUUUGGACUGAAAUUUUUUUCUUUGGUCUCAUAACAGAUAAUUUUGGAAAAAAAUCCAUUUGAACAUAAGGCAUAUAUUGUACAGUAUUACAAAUAAAGAGAUUUUGAAAAUAAAAACAAUAUUUUAUUGAGACAUGUGUAUUUUUUUACUAAGGAAAUUUUCAUAUUGCUUUUGAAAGGAAGGAGUUUAUAUUGAUAUUUUUUUCAGCUGAUAUUGAAUAAAGAAAUAUAUUGAGAGUAUUUAAAUAGCAUUGGAUAACAGGCUAAGACUUUUUAAGCCUUCUCCACUUUUGUAUAUUCAUAUCAUUACAGACUGCUGACAGAAUAUUUUUUUGUAUAAAAUUUG
rnacentral:lncRNA from 1 species